GAGCGAGUGGAGCGUGGUUGUGAGAGUGUGUGCAGCUCCUGUAGUAACGGAAAGAUGGAUGAAAGGCUAAUUCUUGCUGUUAGCAAUUUUCCAGUGCCCUAUGAUAUGUCUCUUCCCACGUACAAGGACAUUUUUAAGAAAAAUACUGCGUGGAAAGGUGUAUCUGAGAUCGCGGGGAUUUUAUGGACCCAGACAGACCGGCAUUUGUGUUUUCGCCGCAGAUAAACAGCCGCUAUGGCAAACAGCACGCCUGGUUUCUCAUUCAUCUUUGAUAUAAAGCAUUUUAUGUACUGAUUCCAUUUAUAUUUAGACUUUUCACGCCAAAAUGUUUGUUUUUAGUGGCAAGAAAAGAGAUUUGGUGUCAACAGCAAUGGAAUGGCAUCCGUGAAUGUCAUUUAUAAAUGUUACUAGGCAACCAGUAGUGGGAACGCCCACUAGCGACUUCACGGCCAGCCACUGGCGACCUGCAGCGACAAAGUCGCUGGCAGUGUGAACGCACCUUUAGAGACACAACUUAAACCAUAGCUGCCUAUGUUAUUGAGAACAGCUUAGAGCUUAACAAAUAUAGCUUUCCUGUGGAAUAAAUUACAAAAACAGAGUAUUUAUACAUUUACUUCAACAAAGGCUAUAGCCAAAAUAUUGUUUCAAGUCAGUCAGCCAUCAAUUUAUCUCUGCAUUUAGGAGAUAAAGGAUCACUGGCAAUAAAUAUCUCACUUCUUAGGGCAGGCCUAACAAGCCAGGCCCAUUGUAAGUUCUCUUGGGAUGUCAAGAAAUGCAGCUGACACUAACAGAACCGCAGCUGCACUAUCAUGACUGCUUUUGCAUCAUGAGUCAAUGAUAAACUCUGGAGUAGCCACUUUUUUUCUGGAAAGCUCAGGCAGAUUUUGUGGGCUUUUAGAGAGGAGUAGAGAGAUGGUGAGUGGGGAACAGAAAGAGAGAGAUUAGUAGGUUCAGAUCUCCCAAAGGUUAUUUAAGCGUCAAUGGCAGGUUUUUCUUUAUAAAUAUAAGCAUCUCCGCAUUUUUGGCAGACAGCUUGUUCCUCUUCUCAUCUACAAUAUUCCCUGCUGUGCUAAAAAGUCGUUUGCUAUCUACACUUGUGCACUGUGCACAGAGGUAUGCUCGUGCUGCUUGUGCGAGAGCGGGAAAACGGCUUUUAUUGUCCUGCCAAAACACAAGCGAUUUCCGCUCCGCGGAAUAACUGGCUUCGAUGUUGUUGAGCAGCUGAUGUCACUGCCACCAUGUUCCCCAUCUUCAUCCAACAACUCUGCAUACAUGGCAUGUAAGGAGCCAACUCGUGGUACUUUCUCUGGGGGCUCGGAUCCGCUCGCUGCCAGGCUCACCUCACCAUUCUUCUGCUCAAGUCUAGUGGCCAGGACAUCAGAAAGCAGCCCACGUAUCUGGGGCUUGAGUGCGUCAGGGAAAUAGCAAGAGCCUCCGCAGUGUGUGACCCUGACAACUCUUGAGAAUGAAGAAUUGCGUGAAUGUGCAGUUAGGCUCAACAUGUAGAUGGGACAUACACUCGAACUCCAAAUGUCACUUGUGAAACUGAUUGAUGUGAUGUCCUUCAUAAGGCCGUCGACAUGUUUAAACACAGUUUGGUAUAACUGCGGCAGGCAUACAUCAGUGAAAUAUUUAUGCCCUACAAGAGUAGCGUAAAUCCAAGUACGACAUGAGUCGCUGGAAACCUCCGUCUUCCACAAUAGACAGCGGCUGAUGAUCAAGGCAUAUGAAUUCCAUUAUUUUGGCUGAUAUUUCUUUUUGUUUCUUGCUGUCAUUGCUGUAGGGUUGAUGUCGUUGCAAUGUCUCUGUUACCGACAGCUGAGUGAGUGGCGCCUGAGCUGCCAAGCGGUCUCGCUCUCUCUCUGCCUUGGUGCUAGCUAGCUUUGAAAACUGCUCAUAUUCCUUUACGUGACUAACCUUCAAAUGUCUGAUGAGGUUGGUGGUGUUGAAAUGUUUUUGGUGCUUUCCACCCCGUGGGAUUUCCUUUGCACGCACGUUGCAAAUUGCACAUUUAUUGUCUCUUUCAGACACCUGGUAGAACUGCUAGAUUUCUGAAUAUAGUGAUGCCAUUUUAGCUGCACGUAGAAAAAUUGUCUCGUGAGUUUUGCAUCAUUUAAUAGGCUUUUCUGAUCGGCCUUUAAAGAGACCACCGAUCAAACUAUUUAAAACGAUUAUCGGCUGACAACGAUCGGCGGUCGAUCGAUUGGAGCACCCUUAUACUUUACCUUUGGAAGAAUAUUCCAGAUAAUUUAUUAUCAUCAUUUAAAAUGUGCUGUAUAUUUAUCUUCUCUUAUCUCUUGGCUCGGGCUGUUUGGUUAUGCAAAGUGACACUAUUUACAUUUCCCUCCUUUUCCACGUAGAAGAUAAAUUACAUGAAACCUGACUUUGACCAUACCAGGACAACUGCACAUUUGAUUUGCAAAACAGAAUGACUGCAGAGUUAUAUCAGUCAUCUACAGGAACUAAACAUGUUUCUUUACAACACUAGAAUAUUUAGUCCAUUGUUUAAUUAUACUGAAUAAAACAUACAAAAAUGAUUACAAAUCUUUAAAGAGCUACUAAACAGUUUUGAUUCAAUGACUAAAAUGUAAAUCGGAUUCUCUUUGAGCCAAACUUAUUUCUCAUAAUAUAUGAAUGUAUGUCUGUGUUUCACAAGGAGUAGAUUUCUUUCUCCAGUGUUUUUCUAUAGAGCUCAACAAUGUCCAGUACAAUAUACACUUUCAUUUCUGCUGAAACCUGUGGAGGAGGGAGGGAGGGGUUUGUUUUUCUGUAGCUUAUAAAAUGAACUCGCACACCAGAUCAUAAUAACAUCAGACCUUGCGCUUCAGGACAGAGUUUAAGUCCGUCACUUCUUUAAGAACAUCAUGAAGCACUGCUGGAGUUUACUCGCUCUACACCUCUUCAUUGUGAAUGGAGUGUUUGGAGUUGACACGGACGAAAUCAAGUCAGUGAUCGAGGGAGAUUCAGUCACUCUAGACACAAAUGUUGAAAAACAGAAAAGUGAUCUGAUUGUGUGGUGUUUCGGACCUGAAGCCAGUAGGACUCGUAUUGCUCAAAUCAAUGGAAAGGCCGACAGCAAGCGUGUAUAUGAUGAUGUUCUUGAUGGGAGAUUUAAAGACAGACUGAAGUUGGACAGUAAAACUGGAUCUCUCACCAUCAGAGACAUCACAACUGAACACUCGGGACUUUAUAAACUCAGAAUAAGCAAUAAUAAAGUCUCAUACACAACAUUCAAUGUAACUGUUAAUGAGAUUAAAUCAGAGUUUAAGAAGACUGAGGAGAUUGAGUCUACUUCCGGUCGAUCACAUUCAGACCUUUAUUUCACCGUCACACCAUGAACGUGGAGCUCUUCGGCAGUUGCAGAUCCUAUGAACCCAUGCCACUCCACUCCCACUGAAGAAGUGCUAACAACGGCUAUGAAGAGAAUCCAGGCCUCACUCUCUGUUUCUAUCAUCAUCAUCAUUACGGCGUGUUUGACUGCAGUAUUAAUUGCUGUAAUCGCAGCUGUGAUCUGCUUCAGGAAACACAGAGUAAAAGG